GUUUUAAUAAUUUAAUAAAAAUACUGGUCUUGUAAACCAGAAAUAGGAAAUUACCUUUAAAACA
rnacentral:tRNA from 1 species